rnacentral:rRNA from 1 species
AGAGUUUGUUCAGGGCUCAGAUUGAACGCUGGCGGCAGGCUUAACACAUGCAAGUCGAGCGGCAGCGGAAAGAAGCUUGCUUCUUUGCCGGCGAGCGGCGGACGGGUGAGUAAUGUCUGGGGAUCUGCCCGAUGGAGGGGGAUAACUACUGGAAACGGUAGCUAAUACCGCAUAAUGUCGCAAGACCAAAGUGGGGGACCUUCGGGCCUCACACCAUCGGAUGAACCCAGAUGGGAUUAGCUAGUAGGUGGGGUAAUGGCUCACCUAGGCGACGAUCCCUAGCUGGUCUGAGAGGAUGACCAGCCACACUGGAACUGAGACACGGUCCAGACUCCUACGGGAGGCAGCAGUGGGGAAUAUUGCACAAUAGGGGAAACCCUGAUGCAGCCAUGCCGCGUGUGUGAAGAAGGCCUUCGGGUUGUAAAGCACUUUCAGCGGGGAGGAAGGCAAUGGCGUUAAUAGUGUCAUUGAUUGACGUUACCCGCAGAAGAAGCACCGGCUAACUCCGUGCCAGCAGCCGCGGUAAUACGGAGGGUGCGAGCGUUAAUCGGAAUUACUGGGCGUAAAGCGUACGCAGGCGGUCUGUUAAGUCAGAUGUGAAAUCCCCGGGCUUAACCUGGGAACUGCAUUUGAAACUGGCAGGCUAGAGUCUCGUAGAGGGGGGUAGAAUUCCAGGUGUAGCGGUGAAAUGCGUAGAGAUCUGGAGGAAUACCGGUGGCGAAGGCGGCCCCCUGGACGAAGACUGACGCUCAGGUACGAAAGCGUGGGGAGCAAACAGGAUUAGAUACCCUGGUAGUCCACGCUGUAACGAUGUCGAUUUUGAAGGUUGUGGUCUUUGAGCCGUGGCUUUCGGAGCUAACG